rnacentral:lncRNA from 1 species
GGCAUGCCAUCUACAUGUGAAUUAGAUCAUGAACUCCUGGACUUCAAUGCCAUAGUGUUGAAGAUUUUGGCAUGUCUUUCUAUAGAGGCAGGGAUGUUAAUAUUUUCUGGACAGCAAGCACUGAGACAUAAUUAGAGCAUCACACUGGGUUCCACAAGCACAUCCUUUACUUUUCUACUGUAAAUUUUUACUUUAGCAUAAUAGUAGCCAGCUAUACAUCUCAGUACAUUACCUUGGGGGAUACAGGAAGCAAUCAUUGUGUUUACCAAGCAGUCAUUGGUCUGAUGAAUGACAAGGUGUGUGCACCUGUGCAAAAGUGUCAAACUGGGAUUUUUGCCCAUUUAUGUUACACCCAACAGGUUUUUUGUGUAUCUACCUGAGCAUCACACAGGAUAUAAUUCACCCACACCACUCUAGGAUUUGUUUUAAACAAAGUUUUCUUUUGAUUUUUCUGGUAAAAGUAGCUCAAUUCAGUAUAAUGACACAUGAAAAACCAGAUUUGCAAGUUUUGGAGGAGGUCAACAGUGAAUCAUAAGAUAAAGAUGAUCCAUUAUGGUAAAAUACAUGUUUUCAUAACAGAAGAGUGGUGUGGGUGUAUGAUGAUGAUGAUGAUGAUGAUGAUGAUGAUGAUGAUGAUGAUGACUUUGAUGUUGGCCAUGUGAGCCAAAGUUCCUGUGACAGUGAAAUGGAACAAGAUCGACUGAUACAGUCACAGGAAUGCAGACCUCCUUGAUUCAAAUAACAAAGAAAACAACAAUGAAUUGAACUCAAGUCCUUGCACUUGCAAGGCAGGCAGCGGAACCACUGAGCUAAAUCCCCGGCUGAAUACAUUACUAUUAAUGAACAUCUUGCAGAAUUUCAUGGCAGCUAUAGUUUCAGGGAGUAUAAGCUAAAAAACCCCAAAAAACCAAAAUAAAAACCCCUUCAAAAUAUGGCAUAAAAAUUUAUGCCUUUGUAGAUGCGAGGACUUAUUAUCCUUUCAAUUUAGAAAUUUAUCAUGGAACUCAACCUUAUUCAUAUAGUAAUAAACUGAAUGAUGCUGUGAACAGGCUUAUUGUUCCCAUCUCCCAAACUAAUUGAAGUAUGCCAUUAGACAAUUGGUUUACCAGCUUCAAUCAAUAUUGCAUUUGCUAACAGAGCACAAAUUGACCAGCAUAGGAAUUGUAUGCAGGAUCAAAGUGGAAAUUCCAAAC